AAGUGCUGUGUACCUUUUUCCUUUCAGCAUUACAAUGCAAGGCCACUGGUUUUCUGAGUCUGGUGUGGAAGAACUUGACUUGUCCUCACAAAGCCCAGACCUGAACCUUAACUGUACACCUUAGGGAUGAAUGGAACCAACGACUGUGAGCCAGGCCUCAUCACCCAACAUUACUGGUUGGCCUCACUGAUGCUCUUGGGUCUGAAUGAGGAAGAAGCGAGGGGCUACGUCAAGGCCAAAGCCAACAGCGAGCAUGAUAACUCAGCGUUGAUUAUAGAGUGAGGACUGCGUCACAUAGACCACACGGG